rnacentral:lncRNA from 1 species
GUUUCUUAUCUGUUGUUACCCUCUUCAGUGCUUCAUCCUGUUCUAAUGUCUAGAAGCUUCUUGAACAACCUUUUGCUGUGUUUAAAGCAAUUGCUGCGGAGUAAACACUGAAGACUACUGAGAGUCACUCUCAGAUGAGCCAAGCUGCAAGAAAGACUCUCAAAGGAGUUCAACUGCCUGGAAGAAACCAGCCAAGCAACCUGAAAGCAGCAGAAAUGAGCCUGGCUGCCUGGAUGAGCUUUAGACCAACUGAGGCACAUGGAAGGGACACUCUCCAACCCAUUGAGCUGCCUGCAGGCUGUUCAGUAUGCUCCAGAUUCCCAGCUUUUGUGAGCUGUCACCCAUGCUGUGGUGGGCUUUGGUGAGGCAGCUGCUACUGUAUGUAAACCCCCACCCAUAUUCAUGUAAGUAACCCCAAUAAAACUCACAAAUUCACUAAGUUGGAC